rnacentral:piRNA from 1 species
UAGACAGCUCACUUCUGCACAGGCAGUGCCA